rnacentral:misc_RNA from 1 species
AACGCAUAUUGCGCUCUUUGGUAUUCCGAAGAGCAUGCUUGUUUGAGUAUCAGUAAACAUCUCAAAACCCUUGAUCUUUUUCAAGCGUUUUGGACUUGAGCAAACCCAAUGCCUUUUCUUUUAAGAUCUGUUGCGGCGGGUUGCUUGACAUGCAGGUGCAGCUGGACAAUCUCCUGAGCUAAAAGCAUAUUUAUUUAGUCCCGUCAAACGGAUUAUUACUUUUUGCUGUAGCUAACAUAAAGGGAGUUUUGACCAUUAUGGCUGACUGAUGCAGGAUUUCACAGAGAAAAGGCCGGCAACGGUUUUGUCUCUGUCAAACUCGAUCUCAAAUCAAGUAAGGCUACCCGCUGAACUUAA